CAGAGACCUCAAGCGUUAUCCGGAAUCAUUGGGCGUAAAGCGUACCGACAGGUGGUUUUACAAGUCAGAAGUGAAAUCUUAAAGCUCAACUUUGAGACUGUCUUUUGAAACUGUAAAACUAGAGGGGCAAAGAGGAAGCUGGAACGAACGGUGUAGUAGUGAAAUGCGUUGAUAUCGUUCGGAACACCAAUAGCGUAGGCAGGCUUCUGGGUGCCACCUGACACUGCUAGGACGAAAGCGUGGGGAGCGAUAAGGAUUAGAUACCCUUGUAGUUCACGCUGUAAACGAUGAUGAUUAGGUGACUAGGGAGUAUCGACCCUCUUUAGUACCAUAGCUAACGCGUUAAAUCAUCCGCCUGGGGAGUACGGCCGCAAGGCUA
rnacentral:rRNA from 1 species